CCGCCGCGGGCCCGCCCGCCCCGAUAAGCGCCUCGGCCAUUAUGGGCCAAAUGAUUCAUUUUAAUUUGGCAAUUUCUCCGGAGGCUGCGGGGACGGGUUGCGGCGCUGGGCUGGCCCAGGAAUGAGCAGCGGAGAGGGCUGAACGUGCACGCUGGGACCUGACUGGUCCAGCCCCAUUUUCCAGCCCCGGCCUCUCGGGAUUCCCGCUCCCCACAAAUAACCGCACUCGGUUCUCCGCCUUCCAGAUGCUCCUUCAGCGAAUUCGGUCACUGCUUUAGCCUAUUAUGACCACCGUGACUCCCUACCAUCACCUCCAACCUUCGCUUCUUCAUUCAUUCGUUCUCCGGUGUCCUGGAAACCAAAUAGCUACGGAUGAAAGCAGAACCCACGAAGUCCUCCUCCCAUCCCCCCCUCCUCCGCGCCACCCUGUUGCUUAACACAAUCUUUAAUCUUGGUACUGAAGCAUAGUAUCUCUCCAGAUACUAUUUAGUUUUCAUUAAACAUGCCUAAGGACAGGAGAGACAUCAGAGGUUGAGUACUUGCCUAUCUUGUGCAACGCCAAGGAUUGGAUUCCAAGCACCAGCACUACAAAAAUAAAAAUAAGUACAUAAAUUAGUGAACUCUAA